AUUGAACGCUAGCGGGAUGCCUUACACAUGCAAGUCGAACGGAGUGGCGAACGGGUGAGUAAUGUAUAGGAACGUGCCCAGUAGCGGGGGAUAACUACGAGUAAGCGUAGCUAAUACCGCAAACUCUUGGCGCCGCCUGUACCGGAUUAGCUCGUUGGUGGGGUAACGGCUAACCAAGGCCACGAUCCGUAGCUGGUUUGAGAGGACGACCAGCCACACUGGGACUGAGACACGGCCCAGACUCCUACGGGAGGCAUCAGUGGGGAAUUUUGGACAAUGGGGGAAAGCCUGAUCCAGCCAUGCCGCGUGUGCGAAGAAGGCCUUCGGGUUGUAAAGUACUUUUGGCAGGGAGGCGGUACCUGCAGAAGAAGCACCGGCUAACUACGUGCCAGCCGCCGCGGUAAUUC
rnacentral:rRNA from 1 species